AUUGAACGCUGGCGGCAGGCCUAACACAUGCAAGUCGAACGAGUGGCGGACGGGUGAGUAAUGUCUGGGAAACUGCCUGAUGGAGGGGGAUAACUACUGGAAACGGUAGCUAAUACCGCAUACCAUCAGAUGUUCCCAGAUGGGAUUAGCUAGUUGGUGGGGUAAAGGCGAACCUAGGCGACGAUCCCUAGCUGGUCUGAGAGGAUGACCAGACAAAAUGGAACUGAGACACGGUCCAGACGCCUACGGGAGGCAGCAGUGGGGAAUAUUGCACAAUGGGCGCAAGCCUGAUGCAGCCAUGACGCGUGUAUGAAGAAGGCAUUCGGGUUGUAAAGUACUGUCAGCGGGGAGGCGUUACCCGCAGAAGAAGCACCGGCUAACUCCGUGCCAGAAGCCGCGGUAAUUC
rnacentral:rRNA from 1 species